AUUGAACGCUGGCGGCAGGCCUAACACAUGCAAGUCGAGCGGAUGAAGGGAGCUUGCUCCUGGAUUCAGCGGCGGACGGGUGAGUAAUGCCUAGGAAUCUGCCUGGUAGUGGGGGAUAACGUCCGGAAACGGGCGCUAUACCGCAUACGUCCUUAGGGAGAAAGUGGGGGAUCUUCGGACCUCACGCUAUCAGAUGAGCCUAGGUCGGAUUAGCUAGUUGGUGGGGUAAAGGCCUACCAAGGCGACGAUCCGUAACUGGUCUGAGAGGAUGAUCAGUCACACUGGAACUGAGACACGGUCCAGACUCCUACGGGAGGCAGCAGUGGGGAAUAUUGGACAAUGGGCGAAAGCCUGAUCCAGCCAUGCCGCGUGUGUGAAGAAGGUCUUCGGAUUGUAAAGCACUUUAAGUUGGGAGGAAGGGCAGUAAGUUAAUACCUUGCUGUUUUGACGUUACCAACAGAAUAAGCACCGGCUAACUUCGUG
rnacentral:rRNA from 1 species